rnacentral:lncRNA from 1 species
UUAUUAAUUGCAAAUUAUGAGAACUGUUACAUAGAUGAUUCUACAACUGACAAUUCCUUCCGACCCUUACUAGAUUCACGACAGACUACACUUCCUUCUUCGUAAUCUUGAUGAAUACCUUCAAUGAUCCACGACCUGGCGACACUUCCUUCUCUGCGUAGAAUCCUGGCGAACGACUAUAAUUGUAUAUCGCUGGAGAUCUCUUGCACACUUGCCUCCAUUAAUCUGUAAAUUUGUUAAUAAAUCGCAAUACCUGGGACUCGAACCCCAAACUUUUUGGUGUAGAAGCAUUAAUCAACCUUUGGUCAACCAAUGGGCCAAGGGGGCUUCCAC